CAGAGCCCGCCAGUUGCUAAGCCAGGGCCACACCUGGGGGUGAUUUCAUGCCUCACCUCCAGUAGGCUCAUGGCCUCUCUGGGCUAACCUCUAGCUUCUUUGCACUAACUUUAGCUCUUACCCAGCUAAUCCCUGCCUCUCCACGGCUGCCCAGGGGCUGACCACUAACAGCCAGCCCUGCCCAUCAUGGGGGGAUGCCGGGGGNCGGCGUGUCCAGGUUCCUGGCCUGGCUUUGGCCUGCUUCCUUGAACUACCCUUCCUCUGGACUAAUUCAUGCCUUUCUGGUCUGUUCCUUUCGGCAGAAAUGAAUGGCUGUGGCUUUCUCUCUAACAGGUCUCAUCUUCUUCUCACUGUCACCACUAAUGGCUUGGAUGGCGGCAUGGCCGGG
rfam:Neotoma lepida isolate 417 scaffold_78, whole genome shotgun sequence.